UUUGUUUUAAAAACAUGACAUGUAAUGCUUGCAAUGAUACAGAGAAGAUUAACAGGGCCCCUGUACAGGGAUGACAGACAAAUUCGUGAAGCAUUCCAUAUUAAA
ensembl:snRNA U6 U6 spliceosomal RNA